UUAUGCAGCAGCACAGCCACCAACCUCGGCCUCGACGGUUCAAUGACGGUCCGGUGCCCACCGGGCUGCGCCGAAACCGGCUACAAGGUCUACGGAACACGGCUCUACAAACCGGACUCAAACAUCUGCGCGGCCGCUAUUCACUCGGGCGUCAUUGAGAACGAGAUCGGAGGAGAUGUGACUUUGCUGAAGACACUGCCACAGAACGCCUACAACGGC